rnacentral:lncRNA from 1 species
GGGCUUUUCCAGCUUCUCGUCUGGGUCCUGCGCUGGAGCUCACCUGGCAUCCCAGGGGUGAGUAGUCAGUCCUGACUGACUUCACAGACUAAGCGCUCGUUUUCAGUAUGUUAUUCUUGAGAAAUUUAACUUUAUACUUUCUGUUAAGGUCCUCAAAGAGCAAAGUAUAAAGCUAAAGCUGAAAUAGGAGAAUCUUCCCAGCGGUCACCAGAAGUCCUAAAGGAAAUCCUGGAGGAAUUGGACAAAGCAGCACGUGAGAUGGACCGCGAGACUGUGGAGAAGGAGGCGUUUCAGGAAGGAGAUAGUCACGCAGCGCCAGUCUCUGAUGAAAAAACAGGGGCAAUUCAAUCAACAGGCGUGCCAGUGGCAGUGCUGUCCAGCCCUGGAGAAGCCCACCACGCCAGGAGAUAUGAAUUUUCUCCAAAGAAUGCA